rnacentral:lncRNA from 1 species
CUUGAGAGAGGUCAGCGUGAGCCCCUUGCCUCACACCGGCCCCUCCCACGCUGAGAGAGGUCAGUGUGAGCCCUUGCCUCACACCGGCCCCUCCCACGCGGACAGAGGUCAGCGUGAGCCCCUUGCCUCACACCGGCCCCUCCCACGCUGAGAGAGGUCAGCCCAAGCCCCUUGCCUCACACCGGCCCCUCCCACGCGGACAGAGGUCAGCCCGAGCUCCUUGCCUCACACCGGCCCCUCCCACGCUGAGAGAGGUCAGUGUGAGCCCUUGCCUCACACCGGCCCCUCCCACGCGGACAGAGGUCAGCGUGAGCCCCUUGCCUCACACCGGCCCCUCCCACGCUGAGAGAGGUCAGUGUGAGCCCUUGCCUCACACCGGCCCCUCCCACGCGGACAGAGGUCAGCGUGAGCCCCUUGCCUCACACCGGCCCCUCCCACGCUGAGAGAGGUCAGCCCGAGCCCCUUGCCUCACACCGGCCCCUCCCACGCUGAGAGAGGUCAGCGUGAGCCCCUUGUCUCACACCGGCCCCUCCCACGCUGAGAGAGGUCAGCCCGAGCCCCUUGCCUCACACCGGCCCCUCCCACGCUGAGAGAGGUGUGAGCCCCUUGUCUCACACCGGCCCCUCCCACGCGGACAGAGGUCAGCGUGAGCCCCUUGCCUCACCCCGGCCCCUCCCACGCUGAGAGAGGUCAGUGUGAGCCCUUGCCUCACACCGGCCCCUCCCACGCGGACAGAGGUCAGCGUGAGCCCCUUGCCUCACCCCGGCCCCUCCCACGCUGAGAGAGGUCAGUGUGAGCCCUUGCCUCACACCGGCCCCUCCCACGCGGACAGAGGUC